AGGAAAUGAAAAUGCUCAACUUACACGUCAAUUUAAGUGCAAAGCGGUCGCCGUCAAUAUAUUUACCCAACUUUGGAGUUGGGUCGGAUCCACAAGGAACAAUGUGAGUAGCGAUCAAAUUAAUUCGAAAUGAUAGAUACAAGUUGAAUUCAAAUAAAUGGUACAAAAAAAUAAAAUGGGGGAUUGGUUCCUACACUAAUGUUUCUUUUUGAAUUUUUCUAGUAUAAAUUCGUGGUUCUGAAUAAUUAGAGUUUUAACAAUUAAACACGAAUCUUGGGAUUAUACGUUACUAAGGGAAUGACAUGUGGGAGUGAUAAAUCGACAUCAAUUUAGUAAAUCACAUAUGGGUAGGUUUGGUUAUAUAUUUUGAUGCUAGUUUUUCAACAAAACAUCAAACUUUCACCCAUUGAUUCUUUCGAAUACCUAAUAGGUGUGUUCAAUAAUUAGUAACCACAACCUCAAUCUAGGCAUCCCUAUUUCUAGGAUGUUACCCAUGGUGUAGCCAACCUCAAAUUCACCCUUAUGUCUAAGAUAGUGAAAAAUUAGCAAACUACACAUGUGAUUGUCCAUCAUUGCUUUGGUCUCCACAUCCCUCUUUCGAGGAUGAUAUGGAUUUCUAAAAUUCACCCAAAACCCUUCUUUUGAAGAUGGCCUUAGACUUUCUAGAGCUUGGAGCUUUCACUUAUCAAACCCAUGUGGGUAUUUGGGGCUUUCACCCAUCAAAUCCCAACUAAAAAGCAUAGCAAUGAUAAAACCCAUUAACAUGAAUUACCAUAUAGAUGCUAACAAUAACAACCCACACACACUUAAAUCCCUAUUAACGCACAACCCCAAGAGAGAAAUUUAUCUACACAUAAGAUAAAUGCAUAAUCUCCAUUGAAUUGAGUUAUUGAAGAUUUAAGAAAAUGUUACUUCAAACUUUGUUCUCCCACGAUAUCAAUAAUGGAAGUGAGCAAAUCUUCCACUUAGAAGGUCUCCAAUGUAUUCUUCACUCAAAAUUUAUACAACAUUUUCUUGUCCAAAAAUAGAGGCUAUGACCUACACUAAAACUAAAAUCUAAAAAAUGGAGGAAGAUAGAAUUAUUCCAUAAUGAUAGGGUUUGAAUCCUUUUUUUCAAAUUGGGAUCAGCACGUGAAAUUUCAGUUUUGCCCUCGGAUUGAAAUCCUCCACUAGGCCAUGAUUGUGUAAGUCUGGCUGCGACCGCGGUUUACCUCUACGGCCGUGAUUGAUUAACCAUACUUGAUUGCCACGACCGCAGUCGGCAGAUCGCAAUUGCGGUACCUGAGGCUCUUCUGUUUCAAGUCUUCAACUACACUUUCUUGCUCCCUUUUUGAUCAUUUUGAGCACCAAUCCACGUAUUUCCAUCCCUUUAACUCUAUUCCUAUAAGAAGUGGAUAUUAGUGCAUCUAAUGGCAAUUAUGUCUCAUUUAUUCAUCCAUAACAGGGUAAUGUGCACGAAUAAUGAGUGCGAUUAAGUGGUCAACUCACCACUCAUCAACACCCCCAACUUAAAGUAUUUGCUUGUCCUUAAACAACAUUACCUUUUAUCAUGAGACACAAUCAUUUAAGCCCAACCUUUAUGCCUUAAAGAUUACAAUGACCUCUACUUUAAUCGCAACCACAAAUAACUCAUUGCACAUGGGUGAAGCUAACUUUGCUACACCCCUCCUUAUUAAAUCUUAAAACCAAGUCUACAUAGGACUUCAAAGAGCGACCAAGCAAUAAAAAUCAAUACUCUUUAAGUGACUCUUUUUUUACGACAACUAAGUUAUACUCCAUUUGCCUCAUUGUCGAGAGGUGACAAAAUUACCCACCUUAACUUGUUUCACAUGUUGUCCUCACAAGAAAGAGAAUUCCUCACAUCAAGCUACAAAAUAUGCAACAAGGAAUUUUAAGUGCAUAAACUAUAUCACUCACAAAAAAAUCUCAAUGCAACAAACGUUAUACCAUAGGUUUGCCCUUAUGUUCAAUCGCCACUACAAAGAAAGUAAAUGGUUGGAGAUCUCAAAGGACUUUCUAAGUUUGUAAUGUAGGUUUGGGUU
rnacentral:lncRNA from 1 species